UUUAAAAAUAUAGCCCAGAACGUAACCAACAAACAAAUAAAGCUCUUAUCACUCUUUUGCUGAAAGCCUGAAACUGAGAAAGCAUAGAAAUCUCACAGAGCGCAUGGAAAUCUCAUAGAGCUCGACGAUCAUCGAUUAGGUACGUAAUCGCACAGCUCCGAUUAGGUACGAUCUCGGUUUUGUGACUCUUCAUCUCUCUUGGCGUUGUGUUUCUCAGCUCCGAUUAGGUUGUAGCACAGAAAGUGAAGGAAGCUGAAAUCACUGAGCAGGACUCGCUUCUUCUGACCCUGCCACUGCAGCUGCUUCUCAAGCAAACAAGGAGGAGGCAGAUGCAUGAUCAGUGUUUGUUGGCAAUGAUGGGUUGUUUUGGAUAGGAUCCAUGUUUUGGUUUGAGUAUGAUAUCAGGUCCAAAGAGUCAAUUUGACCCUGUCAUCUUUAUAAAUGUGACAGAAAACAUAUACCCUGCGUAACAAGCGCAGGUUCGAAUGUCAGUUGGAUGUUUACCAAUGAAACUAGUAUGAUGCUUCAACUUUUGCUACUUUGCAUUGCAAUAUGCAGAUGAGGAGUUUAAAUGUAGUGAUAGCUCAUGUAGAUAUUUCUACGGAGCCCUUUUGUAACAUAUUUGAGAUGUAUAGAAACAUAAC